rnacentral:rRNA from 1 species
AUUGAACGCUGGCGGAAUGCUUUACACAUGCAAGUCGAACGGUAGAGGGGGCAACCCCUUGAGAGUGGCGAACGGGUGAGUAAUAUAUCGGAACGUGCCCAGUCGUGGGGAUAACGUAGCGAAAGUUACGCUAAUACCGCAUACGAUCUAAGGAUGAAAGCGGGGGAUCGCAAGACCUCGCGCGAUUGGAGCGGCCGAUAUCAGAUUAGGUAGUUGGUGAGGUAAAGGCUCACCAAGCCAACGAUCUGUAGCUGGUCUGAGAGGACGACCAGCCACACUGGAACUGAGACACGGUCCAGACUCCUACGGGAGGCAGCAGUGGGGAAUUUUGGACAAUGGACGCAAGUCUGAUCCAGCCAUUCCGCGUGCAGGAUGAAGGCCCUCGGGUUGUAAACUGCUUUUGUACGGAACGAAAAGGUUUGUCUUAAUACGAUGAGCUCAUGACGGUACCGUAAGAAUAAGCACCGGGUAACUACGUGCCAGCAGCCGCGGUAAAGUGACU